CCUACGGGAGGCAGCAGUGAGGAAUAUUGGUCAAUGGACGCAAGUCUGAACCAGUCAUGCCGCGUGCAGGAAGACGGCUCUAUGAGUUGUAAACUUCUUUUGUACGAGGGUAAACUCAGAUACGCGUAUUUGUCUGAAAGUAUCUUACGAAUAAGGAUCGGCUAACUCCGUGCCAGCAGCCGCGGUAAUACGGAGGAUUCAAGCGUUAUCCGGAUUUAUUGGGUUUAAAGGGUGCGUAGGCGGUUGGAUAAGUUAGAGGUGAAAUCCUGAGGCUCAACUUCGGAAUUGCCUUUGAUACUGGUCGGCUAGAGUGUAGUUGCGGUAGGCGGAAUGUAUGGUGUAGCGGUGAAAUGCUUAGAGAUCAUAAAGAACACCGAUUGCGAAGGCAGCUUACCAAGCUAUUUCUGACGUUGAGGCACGAAAGCGUGGGGAGCAAACAGGAUUAGAUACCCGUGUAGUC
rnacentral:rRNA from 1 species